rnacentral:rRNA from 1 species
GAUGAACGCUGGCGGCGUGCCUAAUACAUGCAAGUCGAGCGAACAGAUGAGGAGCUUGCUCCUCUGACGUUAGCGGCGGACGGGUGAGUAACACGUGGAUAACCUACCUAUAAGACUGGGAUAACUUCGGGAAACCGGAGCUAAUACCGGAUAAUCUAUUGAACUGCAUGGUUCAAUAGUGAAUGACGGUUUUGCUGUCACUUAUAGAUGGAUCCGCGCCGCCUUAGCUAGUUGGUAAGGUAACGGCUUCCCAAGGCAACGAUGCGUAGCCGACCUGAGAGGGUGAGCGGCCACACUGGAACUGAGACACGGUCCAGACUCCUACGGGAGGCAGCAGUAGGGAAUCUGCCGCAAUGGGCGAAAGCCGGACGGAGCAGCGCCGCGUGAGUGAUGAAGGUCUUCGGAUCGUAAAACUCUGUUAUUAGGGAAGAACAAAUGUGUAAGUAACUAGGCACGUCUUGACGGUACCUAAUCAGAAAGCCACGGCUAACUACGUG